rnacentral:lncRNA from 1 species
UGAUAGAGUUUCAGUGAAUGUACUUAUAUUUAGUGUUCUUGGGUGGAUUUAGGUUCAGAGUAGGUAUGAAUCUUGUGGUUUAAGAUUUGCUAAGUAAUCUGUCUUCAGCAAAAUAGUGUUGAGUUGAAUUCUCAAACUUGUCUUAGCGAAGUAAGCUGUCAUGUUCCAACGAUUCUUACUCAUGUGCCCUUGAUCUGACUACUAUACAUGGAUUUUAAUUCUCAAACUUGUCUCGCAUUACAGAGUAAUCCGUUUGCAAAUCCAGAUAGACAAAACAUAGUACUCAGAAGGUAGUCCGUUGUGUAUGAUAAAAGUUAUAGCUCAAAACAUAAUCUUCACUAUUUAUUCUUAAAGGGAAUGGAACUAAAUGUCCAUUCAUACACUGCUUGCAUUUCUACAUCCAGAUUCAGGAAAGUUCAAGUCCUACACAAACCAGGGAAGGUUCACUUACGAGUUCGAAUCAGCUGCAGAGUUCGCUGGGGAAACUUUCUCAAUGGAAUGAUGAACUCAUCAAUCCUUCGUCGUCCUGGCUGAUGGAGUAGUUACACGAGAUGUUACAACUGUUUACCUUACAGAAAGAAACUGGAAUGUAGAGAAAGCCUUCUCAAAUCUAUUGGAAGAAUCAUCGCAGUUUCAGGCUUCACAAGAAGGUGAAACCGGGAGCUCUUCUAGGUAAACCAGUAAAUGAUGGUUUCUAGAGUAUGCUUAGUAUGAAUCGGUUAUGAUUCAACACUUUGAGCCUCAUGUAAUAUUGUAUUAUAGUUUAACUCUAAAUUAU